rnacentral:rRNA from 1 species
GAUGAACGCUGGCGGCGUGCCUAAUACAUGCAAGUCGAGCGAACAGACGAGGAGCUUGCUCCUCUGACGUUAGCGGCGGACGGGUGAGUAACACGUGGAUAACCUACCUAUAAGACUGGGAUAACUUCGGGAAACCGGAGCUAAUACCGGAUAAUAUAUUGAACCGCAUGGUUCAAUAGUGAAAGACGGUUUUGCUGUCACUUAUAGAUGGAUCCGCGCCGCAUUAGCUAGUUGGUAAGGUAACGGCUUACCAAGGCAACGAUGCGUAGCCGACCUGAGAGGGGGAUCGGCCACACUGGAACUGAGACACGGUCCAGACUCCUACGGGAGGCAGCAGUAGGGAAUCUUACGCAAUAGGCGAAAGCCUGACGGAGCAACGCCGCGUGAGUGAUGAAGGUCUUCGGAUCGUAAAACUCUGUUAUUAGGGAAGAACAAAUGUGUAAGUAACUAUACACGUCUUGACGGUACCUAAUCAGAAAGCCACGGCUAACUACGUG